rnacentral:rRNA from 1 species
AUUGAACGCUGGCGGCAUGCUUUACACAUGCAAGUCGAACGGUAACAGGGAGCUUGCUCCGCUGACGAGUGGCGAACGGGUGAGUAAUGCGUCGGAACGUGCCGAGUAGUGGGGGAUAACGCAUCGAAAGGUGUGCUAAUACCGCAUACGAACUGAGGUUGAAAGUGGGGGACCUUCGGGCCUCACGCUAUUCGAGCGGCCGACGUCUGAUUAGCUAGUUGGUGAGGUAAAGGCUCACCAAGGCGACGAUCAGUAGCGGGUCUGAGAGGAUGAUCCGGCACACUGGGACUGCGACACGGCCCAGAAUCCUACGGGAGGCAGCAGUGGGGAAUUUUGGACAAUGGGCGCAAGCCUGAUCCAGCCAUGCCGCGUGUCUGAAGAAGGCCUUCGGGUUGUAAAGGACUUUUGUCCGGGAGCAAAUGCUGGUGGCUAACAUCCACCGGAGCUGAGAGUACCGGAAGAAUAAGCACCGGCUAACUACGUGCCAGCCGCCGCAGUAAAAC